UACAGAGGGGGCAAGCGUUGUUCGGAAUUACUGGGCGUAAAGGGCGCGUAGGCGGCCUUCUAAGUCGAACGUGAAAUCCCCGGGCUCAACCCGGGAACUGCGUCCGAUACUGGAAGGCUUGAAUCCGGGAGAGGGAUGCGGAAUUCCAGGUGUAGCGGUGAAAUGCGUAGAUAUCUGGAGGAACACCGGUGGCGAAGGCGGCAUCCAGGACCGGCAUUGACGCUGAGGCGCGAAAGCCAGGGGAGCAAACGGA
rnacentral:rRNA from 1 species